CAACUUAAGAGUUUGAUCCUGGCUCAGAAUGAACGCUGGCGGCAGGCCUAAAACAUGCAAGUCGAACGCUGUAGCAAUACAGAGUGGCGCACGGGUGAGUAACAUGUGGGAAUAUGCCUUUUGGUACGGAACAACGUUUGGAAACGAACGCUAAUACCGUAUGGUCCCUUCGGGGUAAAGAUUUAUCGCCAAAAGAUUAGCCCGCACUAGAUUAGCUAGUUGGUGAGGUAAGAGCUCACCAAGGCGACGAUCUAUAGCUGGUCUGAGAGGACGAUCAGCCACACUGGGACU
rnacentral:rRNA from 1 species